AUACGAAGGGGGCAAGCGUUGUUCGGAAUAACUGGGCGUAAAGCGCACGUAGGCGGAAUGUUAAGUUAGAGGUGAAAUCCCAGGGCUCAACCCUGGAACGGCCUUUAAUACUGGCAAUCUAGAGACCGAGAGAGGUGAGUGGAAUUCCGAGUGUAGAGGUAAAAUUCGUAGAUAUUCGGAGGAACACCAGUGGCGAAGGCGGCUCACUGGCUCGGUACUGACGCUGAGGUGCGAAAGCGUGGGGAGCAAACAGGAUUAGAUACCCUAGUAGUCC
rnacentral:rRNA from 1 species